ensembl:lncRNA
UUACAUAUCAGUUGUAUAUUGCUACAUAUGACUGCAUUUAAGUUCAUUUUAAUAUACUACAUUGAGGAAUUUAAAAAUGGAAGAUAUAUACAUGUGCUAUAUUGUGUUCAUCAUGUAAAGGUCAUCAUGUAUAGGGUUAGAGUCAUCAUGCAAAGGUCAUCAUGUAAGGGUCAUCAUGUAUAGGGUUAGGGUCAUCAUGUAAAGGUCAUUAGGGUUAGGGUCAUCAUGUAAAGGUCAUCAGGGUUAGAGUCAUCAUGUAAAGGUCAUCAGGGUUAGAGUCAUCAUGUAAAGGUCAUCAGGGUUAGAGUCAUCAUGUAAAGGUCAUCAUGUAUAGGGUUUGGGUCAUCAUGUAAAGGUCAUCAUGUAUAGGUCAUCAAGGUUAGAGUCAUCAUGUAAAGGUCAUCAGGGUUAGAGUCAUCAUGUAUAGGGUUAGGGUCAUCAUGUAAGGGUCAUCAUGUAUAGGGUUAGGGUCAUCAUGUAAAGGUCAUCAGGGUUAGAGUCAUCAUGUAAAGGUCAUCAUGUAAAGGUCAUCAUGGUUAGAGUCAUCAUGUAAAGGGUUAGGGUCAUCAUGUAAAGGUCAUCAUGUAUAGGGUUUGGGUUAUCAUUACUCACUGCAGUAACUGGUCUUCACAGCAGUGUUUUGAAUGGAUCUCACCAGGGUGGAAUGGCUAUUCUGUAGCGUACGUCUAUUUGAUAGCUUUUGUGUGAUGUCUGAGAGCUUAGAGAGCUGGGUUUGGACAUGGAAGGGUUAGGGUUGACCUUUGACCUUUGUGAAGAUGAGUGUGCAGUUAUGCAUUUGCGUUUAGAGCUUUGGGAAUGGGAAUAUUUCAAGAAAUGUGUCUUGGCAAGAAAAACUGUAACCACAUGACAGUAUUUUAUGUAAUUUCGCAAGACAAAACUGAGUAUUCACCCAAGUUUCUUCAAAUCGCGUUUUGUAAUCAUCGU